rnacentral:rRNA from 1 species
GUGUCAGCAGCCGCGGUAAUACGGAGGAUCCGAGCGUUAUCCGGAAUCAUUGGGUUUAAAGGGUCCGUAGGCGGCUAUAUAAGUCAGUGGUGAAAGUUUUCGGCUUAACCGAAAAAUUGCCAUUGAUACUGUAGGGCUUGAAUAAUUUUGAAGUAACUAGAAUAUGUAGUGUAGCGGUGAAAUGCAUAGAUAUUACAUGGAAUACCAAUUGCGCAGGCAGGUUACUAAGAAUUGAUUGACGCUGAUGGACGAAAGCGUGGGUAGCGAACAGGAUUAGAUACCCUGGUAGUCCACGCCGUAAACGAUGGAUACUAGUUGUUCGGUUUUCGGACUGAGUGACUAAGCGAAAGUGAUAAGUAUCCCACCUGGGGAGUACGGUCGCAAGACUGAA